GAAGUGCGAUAAGCAAUGCGAAUUGCAGAACCGUGAGUCAUCAGAUUUUUGAACGCAACUGGCGCUGGCUGGGCCUCCAGUCAGCAUGCUUGUUUCAGUGUCUUUUUUUUUUCUCACCCAAAUCAUAAUGCGAGAGAUACCCUUCUCUUGUUAAGCAUGAAAGCACUCUGCGCUUUGCAAGCGGCUCUUUGGCUAGUUCAAAGGUCGCAACUCAAUGUUUCCGUCACAUUGCUCACAAUGUGAACUCAUUGAGAGCAGAGGCAGUGCAGUAACUACUGCCAGUGCUUAGUCACUCAAACUUUUUUUGCAUCUGAAAUCAAGCAGGACCACCCGCUGAACUUAA
rnacentral:misc_RNA from 1 species